GCAAUAGCUCUGUUGGUCAGAGUGUGGCGCUGCUAACACCAAGGUUGCAGGUUUGAUCCCUGUAUGGGACAGCUGCA